GCGGUAGGCCUAACACAUGCAAGUCGAACGGCAGCACAGGAGAGCUUGCUCUCUGGGUGGCGAGUGGCGAACGGGUGAGUAAUGCAUCGGAACGUGCCCGAUCGUGAGGGAUAACGCAGCGAAAGCUGCGCUAAUACCGCAUACGAUCUGAGGAUGAAAGCGGGGGACCGUAAGGCCUCGCGCGAUCGGAGCGGCCGAUGUCAGAUUAGGUAGUUGGUGGGGUAAAGGCCCACCAAGCCGACGAUCUGUAGCUGGUCUGAGAGGACGACCAGCCACACUGGGACUGAGACACGGCCCAGACUCCUACGGGAGGCAGCAGUGGGGAAUUUUGGACAAUGGGCGAAAGCCUGAUCCAGCAAUGCCGCGUGCAGGAAGAAGGCCUUCGGGUUGUAAACUGCUUUUGUACGGAGCGAAAAGGUCCUUUCUAAUACAAGGGGCUCAUGACGGUACCGUAAGAAUAAGCACCGGCUAACUACGUGCCAGCAGCCGCCGUAAUAC
rnacentral:rRNA from 1 species